rnacentral:lncRNA from 1 species
GGUUAGUUUAAACAACUUCUACUUCCUUUUUGUUUACAUAUUUGUUACCAAGUUAUUUGGAGCAUAAAUUCAUAACUGUUACAUGAUUGCUGUGGAGGGUAUCUUUUAUAAAUACUGGGUAUCUCUGGUUCUGCUUAAUGCUAUUUGAAAACAUAGUUGACCCUUGAACAACACAGAUCUGAACUACGUGAGUUCACUUACACUCAGAUUUUCUUCCGCCUCUGCCCCCUGAGAGAGCAAGACCAACC